rnacentral:rRNA from 1 species
GACGAACGCUGGCGGCAGGCUUAACACAUGCAAGUCGAACGGGUGUAGCAAUACAUCAGUGGCAGACGGGUGAGUAACACGUGGGAACCUUCCUAGGGGUACGGAACAACUCAGGGAAACUUGAGCUAAUACCGUAUACGUCCGUGAGGAGAAAGAUUUAUCGCCCUUAGACGGGCCCGCGUCGGAUUAGCUAGUUGGUGGGGUGACGGCCUACCAAGGCGACGAUCCGUAGCUGAUCUUAGAGGAUGAUCAGCCACACUGGGACUGAGACACGGCCCAGACUCCUACGGGAGGCAGCAGUGGGGAAUCUUGGACAAUGGGCGCAAGCCUGAUCCAGCCAUGCCGCGUGAGUGAAGAAGGUCUUCGGAUUGUAAAGCUCUUUUGCCAGGGACGAUAAUGACGGUACCUGGAGAAUAUGCCCCGGCAAACUUCGUGCCAGCAGCCGCAGUAA